rnacentral:rRNA from 1 species
AUGCGAAAUUCAGAAACAGCGAAAAGCCAUCUUGAGUACAAAAUCAAGAAGCGCCAGAGCAACCAGCGACAACGCAGUAGGACAUCGUCAGCAAAGGUCUUGUCUGAAUCAGGAGAGAAAGACGCGAAGCACCAAUUAGCUAAGGAUUCUUUAGACAAAAUGCUCAAGGACAUAUACACAAUCAGGUGUCAAGUCUCAAAUGCUGCCAGUAAUGAUUCCUUAGACAAAUGUAGAGUUCGGCUGGGAGUUUUCGUUUUCCCUUUUGCAAUUCAACAUUUUUGCAGACUUGCAGUAAGUAAUUUCAAAUGUUUCUCAUUAUCUUUUGCAGGGAGGGACAUGGAGAAGCAGCAAAAAGCACUUAGGAAAGGAUGA